AGAGUUUGAUCCUGGCUCAGAACGAACGCUGGCGGCGUGGCUAAGACAUGCAAGUCGAACGGACUGGUCAAUUUAUUGAACAGUUAGUGGCGAAAGGGUUAGUAACGGAUAGGUAACGUACCCUGUGCUUUGGGAUAGCGUCAGUAGCUUCGGCUACUUUCCGAAAGGGGCGGUAAUACCAGAUAAUAUCAUUUGUCGAUAGGCAGAUGAUCAAAGAUUUAUCGGCGCAGGAGCGGCCUGUCUCCUAUCAGCUUGUUGGUGAGGUAAUGGCUCACCAAGGCAACGACGGGUAGCGGGACUGAGAGGUUGGCCCGCAACAUCGGGACUGAGACACUGCCCGGACCUCCACGGAGGGCUGCAGUAACGGAUAUUGUGCAAUGGGCGAAAGCCUGACACAGCGACGCCGCGUGUAGGAGGAAGUCUUUCGGGAUGUAAACUACUGUCAGGGGGAAGAAAGUGCGCUCCGGCGUAUUGAUCUAACCCAGAGGAAGUCACGGCUAACUUCGUGCUAGCAGCCGCGGUAAGACGAAGGUGGCAAGCGUUGUUCGGUGUUACUGGGCUUAAAGCGUGUGUAGGCGGAAAUGUAAGCGUUGCGUGAAAUCCCCCGGCUUAACCGGGGAACUGCGCAACGAACUGCGUUUCUUGAGGCAAGUAGGGGUGCAUGGAACUCUUGGUGGAGCGGUGGAAUGCGUAGAUAUCAAGAGGAACGCCAGUGGAGAAAUCGGUGCACUGGGCUUGUUCUGACGCUGAGACACGAAAGCGUGGGGAGCGAACGGGAUUAGAUACCCCGGUAGUCCACGCCGUAAACGAUGCCUACUAGGUUGUGGUGGUUCUGACACCAGCACAGCCGAAGCAAAAGUGCUAAGUAGGCCGCCUGGGGAGUACGGUCGCAAGGCUAAAACUCAAAGGAAUUGACGGGGGCUCACACAAGCGGUGGAGCAUGUGGAUUAAUUCGAAGCAACGCGUAGAACCUUACCUGGGUUUGACAUGCUUGGAUGCUUGCCUGGAAACAGGUUAAGUUACCUUCGGGUGAAACUUGCACAGGUGCUGCAUGGCUGUCGUCAGCUCGUGUCGUGAGAUGUCGGGUUAAGUCCUUUAACGAGCGAAACCCUUACCGUUAGUUGCCAGCGGGUCAUGCCGGGGACUCUAGCGGGACUGCCGGUGUUAAACCGGAGGAAGGCGGGGACGACGUCAAGUCAUCAUGGCCUUUAUGCCCAGGGCCUCAC
rnacentral:rRNA from 1 species